AUUGAACGCUGGCGGCAUGCCUUACACAUGCAAGUCGAACGGCAGCACGGGAGCAAUCCUGGUGGCGAGUGGCGAACGGGUGAGUAAUAUAUCGGAACGUGCCCGGUCCGUGGGGAUAACGUAGCGAAAGCUACGCUAAUACCGCAUACGAUCUACGGAUGAAAGCGGGGGGAUCGCAAGACCUCGCGCGAUUGGAGCGGCCGAUAUCAGAUUAGGUAGUUGGUGAGGUAAAGGCUCACCAAGCCGACGAUCUGUAGCUGGUCUGAGAGGACGACCAGCCACACUGGGACUGAGACACGGGCCCAGACUCCUACGGGAGGCAGCAGUGGGGAAUUUUGGACAAUGGACGCAAGUCUGAUCCAGCCAUUCCGCGUGCAGGAUGAAGGCCCUCGGGUUGUAAACUGCUUUGUACGGAACGAAAGGUUU
rnacentral:rRNA from 1 species